GAAAUUGUGUCCUCGGCCGCCGGUUCGUCGCUCGCGACGCCAACUGGCGCGCACCGCUGGACGUCCAGCCGGUACAACGAACUCGCCUACGGGGUGCUCUUAACCGAGUGUCCAGGCGGGGGCCGGCAACGUUACUUUGAACAAAUUAAAGUGCUUAAAGCAGGCUAAAUUGCGCUCGCAUACACGCGCAUGGAAUAAUCGAAUAGGACCUCCGUUCUAUUUUGUUGGGUUUUUGUGGAACGACAGACGGAGGUAAUGAUCAAUGGGUGCGGAUGGGGGCAUUCGUAUUGCGACGUUAGAGGUGAAAUUCUUGGAUCGUCGCAAGACGGACUUAAGCGAAAGCAUUUGCCAAAAACGCUUUCAUCGAUCAAGAACGAAAGUUAGAGGUUCGAAGGCGAUCAGAUACCGCCCUAGUUCUAACCAUAAACUAUGCCAGCUAGCGAUCCGCCGAAGUUACUUCUAUGACUCGGCGGGCAGCUUCCGGGAAACCAAAGCUUUCGGGUUCCGGGGGAAGUAUGGUUGCAAAGCUGAAACUUAAAGGAAUUGACGGAAGGGCACCACCAGGAGUGGAGCCUGCGGCUUAAUUUGACUCAACACGGGAAACCUCACCAGGCCCGGACACCGGAAGGAUUGACAGAUUGAGAGCUCUUUCUUGAUUCGGUGGGUGGUGGUGCAUGGCCGUUCUUAGUUGGUGGAGCGAUUUGUCUGGUUAAU
rnacentral:rRNA from 1 species